GUCCCCAAACCUGAGAUAAAAAUAGAGAAGAUUGAAAUGAACCCUAAUGCUGUGUAUUUAAUAUGUGAGUACAGUGAAACAAUAAUCUGGAAGAAUUCAGCUGGAGAAACACUGAAGGGUUCACCCCAGAGUCCAAAAGGAGAAUUAAUCAAAGUUGAAAAACAAGGAAAUCCAGAUUUCUUCUACACAUGCACACUCGAGAAUGCAGUGAGUGAGAAAACCAGUGAUCCGGUCUAUGAGAGAAAUCUGUUUAAAGAUUUACGAGGAUUUGUUAUUUGGAUUGCCACUGUUUCAAUCAGCAUGGUUUUUAUCAUCCUUUUCCUGUUUAUACCACCUUGUUGUCACGCAAUAAGAGGCUGAUUCUGAAUCCCGGUUUUACUGAAACAACUGGAGCUCUAAACUAUCUGUUCCUUCAUAACUUUUACUGUUGCUUUUUGACCUCUGUGUCUGUUGGACUAUGCAGAUGGUGUUGAAACUUCAUCCUCCAGUUCUGAAUCUGCUGUUAUGUAUGCGAAUAUUUUAUUUUCA